CCUAAAAAUCCUUAAGUCUAUGAAAAAUCCAUUAUACACGUAACACGCAUCUCACGUAAACCAAUCUGGCCUCAAGAUCGAUCUGUCCUUGAAGAAUCCUCAAGAUGUACGUCAAAUCCCGAUGCCUUCUCCCGAUCCCCUUCAAUAUUCUGGUGACUUCUCAAUGACGUCCGCCUCCACUAUCGAUCAAAGAAUCCUCACGAUAUUGAAGGGAGGAGGGAUAUUGCUGGCUGUUAUUGUCUUAUGGGCGGAGGUUGUGAAGGACGUGGUCCGCCAUAACACUGCUUCCUAGGAUUAAACGAUGAAGUUGUUGGUCGUACUAUCGAGGUCGGUUUUCACGAGUAAUAUAAUAUGCCGCAGUGGAGAAAGACGAACACGCGCGCGGCCGUUAAAUCGGAGUUCUUGCGGCACACGAUCUGUCAAGCCAGAGAAAGGGACUCCAUGGACAAAGGAUUACAUGGUUGCUACAACAGAUUGAAAACAUGAGACAAGGACUGGCAUUUUGACGUGGAAACAAGGCUCAGGUACACAUAAAGAAGAAAGGCGAAUAAACAUUAUAGCCAAGAGGAUGAGUUGUUUCUCUCAAUGCCACAUGGGCAGUUGGUGGAGCAUGAUUCUCGGACAUAUCACGCUAACUAAUGUUCCAAAGUACACUAGAAAGCAAAAAGGCAACAAGGUUGCCCAUAUUCUUCGUGCUCUUAGUUUUGUUUGGAUGGGGGAGAGGAAGAAAGAUUGAUGAUCCAGCAUCAGCAUCCAGCGACCAACCCUACAGGGCAUGGAAAGCAUAAUCUACAAUAUGUGGAAAAAAAUUAUCUCCUUGACGUGUUCAUUUUUUAGGUACCAUCUCUACUAGAGACAUAAUCUUCACAUUGA